UGUGCCUGUUCAGUUGGGAGAAUGUUUUCUGAUUGGAUUGGCACACUAAAUAUAUGUUGUGAAUGGAGACAAUGUUCCAGAAUAUAACCACUAUGAUUCUCAACACUAGGGUUCCUGAGAAUGAGGAUAAGGAGGACAGAAGCACACUGCCAAGCGCCGUCAGCUUGGCUGAUGUCCAUGUUGGAAGUCCAGACAUGCUCGGUGGUAAAGCAAAGAGCCAGAAAACCUCCAGGUUAUUUCCUCUCUAUAGAAAUAGCAGGAGCAGUCGGUUUGGAGAGAAAUCUUCUGGAAUUGUCACCAGCAGUCUAUCCAACCCCGCGGACACCACCGCCAGCCCAAUGACAACCCUCAAAUCCAGCAAGGCCACCACCCCGUCAGCCUCAUGUUUAAACACAGCCUGUCCUCAUCUAAAAACAAGAGGACGCAGAGUAGAGGACACUGCAGAACCACUGAUGCGUUGGUCACGGGUGGUUCAUUGUUUGAGCUGUUGCGUGAGGCCAUCUACUCUGAGAUGGCUAAUGUGAUAUCUCAGAAUGAGACUAGGCCCAGCUGCAGCUGCUCAACACAGACUACCUACGGCAGAGAGCACUAUUCGCCCUGAAGGACAGUGGCUCGGCAUCCUUCCAAAAGAGAUGUGACUGAAGACCAGCCUGUGCCUGCCAGCCCUGUUCUCCAGGCUUCCCCCACCACAGAACUGACAUCCAGAGAGACCAUGUUCUUAAGACAUCAUUGCUGUAUGUAUGCGUUUCUCUGACCUGCAAUCACCUGACUAAUGUAACACAUUACAUCCUUUGUUAGUUUUAUUAACAGACUAAAAUGACCAUAACAAGAAUAAUAUUAAUGUCACUGUUUAUUUGAUUUGUAAGAGGAUUAUUCAGGAAAGAGACAGAAAAUAAAUGUUUCAGAAGGAGGUGAAUGCAUCCUGUCUAUCGCCUCCCACCGUAAGCCAUUUGCCAAUGAGGAUCUGGGUAAAAACCGUUCAUGGAUUUGAACACUGCUGUCUCCUUAAUUAAUAGUCUAUGCUAUAUGUCUAAGUGUCUGUUUAACUUUGAUCUGUUGCUAUGAUUGACUGGACACUGCUGUCUCCUUAAUUAAUAGUCUAUGCUAUAUGUCUAAGUGUCUUUUUAACUUUGAUCUGUUGCUAUGAUUGACUGGACACUGCUGUCUCCUUAAUUAAUAGUCUAUGCUAUAUGUCUAAGUGUCUGUUUAACUUUGAUCUGUUGCUAUGAUUGACUGGACACUCUGCUGCUUUUUAGGUGCCUGUGAUGGUACUAACUCUUCCUUAAAUGAAAUCCAGUGUACCAACACUCAACAACUUGACAGGCAGAUAAAUGCUAUCAUGGCUGAGAUCCUUCCCAUUUUGAAGGUUAAACACAAUGCUUGGUGUAGGAUAUUUGGGAUUUCAAAGCCCUGAAUGUGUAUACUUAUUGCAUUUUAUGCCAUUUCUUAGCUGAAAAAGAGUUCUUUAGAACUGAAAUGAAGAACUUGUUCAUUUCUCACUGUGUGUUGUGUUGUCAGGAGCGUGUGAAGGAGGAGUUAUCUUCUUAUCUCCUGGCGUCCAUCAGACACAAGGUUCUGGCUCUGACAGCAGAGAAUUCAUCCACUUCUUCCACAAACAGCUCAGUGAUAUUCUGCAGAGUUCCAUGGCCCGUUAUGCAGGGAGGCUGUUGAGAGGCAGUGGUGGUGAUCUACUGGUGGACCUCUCUGAGGCCAUCUUCCAUGAGCUGGCCUUCUUCCACCUGAUACAGGACAUGAACAGGUUGGCAGUCAAGCAGAAUGUUCAAUGCACCAGCACUAUCACAGCCCCUGCAGUGAAAUGGACCUGCUACACUGAGGAGACAGAAUCAUUGGCAGAACAACAGCCAUACCCGACAGCGCUGGAAAAUGAAGAUAAAACAAAGAUGAAACAGAGCGGAGGGAGGAAUGUGCUGAGGCAGGAGAAAGGAUAACUAAUUUGAAAGAUGACAGCUGCAAUGAUGCCUUAGAAGGAGAAGAAGAGGAAGAUAUGAAUGACAGUGAAGGACUGCUUCUAUUAAUAAACCUGUCUAAGGCAGACAGCCAGGCUCUGACUAACUAUGGCAGCAGAGAGGACGAGAAUGAGGAAGAUGAAGACUUCCGGCUGAGCCUGAUGACGUCCAGACCUCUCUCUAAGCCAGUAACGACUUUCCCCAAGCCAGUAACGACUCUCUCCAAGGAAGUAACGACCUUUCCCAAGCCAGUAAUGACUUUCUCCUAUCAAGUAACGACUCUCUCCAAGCCAGUAACGACUCUCUCUCAAAGCCAGUAACUACUGUCUCUAAAAGCCAGUAACUACUCUCUCUAAAAGCCAGUAACUACUCUCUCUAAAAGCCAGUAACUACUCUCUCUAAAAGCCAGUAACUACUCUCUCUCAAAGCCAGUAACUACUGUCUCUAAAAGCCAGUAACUACUCUCUCUAAAAGCCAGUAACGACUCUCUCUAAAAGCCAGUAACUACUCUCUCUAAAGGCCAGUAACUACUCUCUCCAAGCCAGUAAAGACUCUCUCCAAGCCAGUAACGACUCUCUCCAAGCCAGUAACGACUCUCUCCAAGCCAGUAACGACUCUCUCCAAGCCAGUAAAGACUCUCUCCAAGCCAGUAACGACUCUCUCCAAGCCAGUAACGACUCUCUCCAAGCCAGUAAAGACUCUCUCCAAGCCAGUAACGACUCUCUCCAAGCCAGUAACGACUCUCUCCAAGCCAGUAAUGACUCUCUCCAAGCCAGUAACGACUCUCUCCAAGCCAGUAAAGACUCUCUCUAAAAGCCAGUAACUACUCUCUCUAAAAGCCAGUAACUACUCUCUCUAAAAGCCAGUAACUACUCUCUCCAAGCCAGUAAAGACUCUCUCCAAGCCAGUAACGACUCUCUCCAAGCCAGUAACGACUCUCUCCAAGCCAGUAAAGACUCUCUCCAAGCCAGUAAAGACUCUCUCCAAGCCAGUAACGACUCUCUCCAAGCCAGUAACGACUCUCUCCAAGCCAGUAACGACUCUCUCUAAAAGCCAGUAACUACUCUCUCUAAAAGCCAGUAACUACUCUCUCUAAAAUCCAGUAACUACUCUCUCUAAAAUCCAGUAACUACUCUCUCUAAAAUCCAGUAACUACUCUCUCUAAAAGCCAGUAACUACUCUCUCUAAAAGCCAGUAACUACUCUCUCCAAGCCAGUAACGACUCUCUCCAAGCCAGUAACUACUCUCUCCAAGCCAGUAACGACUCUCUCCAAGCCAGUAACGACUCUCUCCAAGCCAGUAACGACUCUCUCCAAGCCAGUAACUACUCUCUCUAAAAGCCAGUAACUACUCUCUCUAAAAGCCAGUAACUACUCUCUCUAAAAGCCAGUAACUACUCUCUCUAAAAGCCAGUAACUACUCUCUCUAAAAGCCAGUAACUACUCUCUCUAAAAGCCAGUAACUACUCUCUCUAAAAGCCAGUAACUACUCUCUCUAAAAGCCAGUAACUACUCUCUCUAAAAGCCAGUAACUACUCUCUCUAAAAGCCAGUAACUACUCUCUCUAAAAGCCAGUAACUACUCUCUCUAAAAGCCAGUAACUACUCUCUCUAAAAGCCAGUAACUACUCUCUCUAAAAGCCAGUAACUACUCUCUCUAAAAGCCAGUAACUACUCUCUCUAAAAUUCAGUAACUACUCUCUCUAAAAUCCAGUAACGACUCUCUCCAAGCCAGUAAAUACUCUCUCCAAGCCAGUAACGACUCUCUCCAAGCCUUUCUCCAAGCCAAUAACGACUCUCUCCAAGCCUUUCUCCAAGCCAGUAACGACUCUCUCCAAGCCAAUAACGACUCUCUCCAAGCCAGUAAAUACUCUCUCCAAGCCAGUAACGACUCUCUCCAAGCCUUUCUCCAAGCCAAUAACGACUCCCUCCAAGCGUUUCUCCAAGCCAGUAACGACUCUCUCCAAGCCUUUCUCCAAGCCAGUAACGACUCUCUCCAAGCCUUUCUCCAAGCCAGUAACGACUCUCUCCAAGCCUUUCUCCAAGCCAAUAACGACUCUCUCCAAGCCUUUCUCCAAGCCAGUAACGACUCUCUCCAAGCCUUUCUCCAAGCCAAUAACGACUCUCUCCAAGCCUUUCUCCAAGUCAGUAACGACUCUCUCCAAGCCUUUCUCCAAGUCAGUAACGACUCUCUCCAAGCCUUUCUCCAAGCCAGUAAAGACUCUCUCCAAGCCUUUCUCCAAGCCAAUAACGACUCUCUCCAAGCCUUUCUCCAAGUCAGUAACGACUCUCUCCAAGCCUUUCUCCA